rnacentral:lncRNA from 1 species
GUGAAGAGGAGGCGGAGGAGGAGGAGGGAUCGAGGGGAGGAGAGCAAAGAGGGUGGGGAGGGGACGGCGAAGGGGAGGGGAGCGCGCCGCCGGACAGACAAUGCGCGCCGCGCAGCCUGCGGGCUUGGGCCAGGCCCCUCGUCUCUACGUCAGGGAGCGGGGACGAGCGCCCCCAGGGGGCGCCCAGCCCGGGGACGCCGAGGAGGGGCGGAAGCGACAGAAUGCCCAACCUGACUGGCGACCUAGAACCAGCCAGGCGCCCCCGGGUCCAGGCACACUCGCGUGCGCGCGCGCUCACACACCCGGCGAAGGGGGGGGCGCCUGGGCGCUGGGGGUGCACAGCCCGGCGCGUGGCAGGAGCGCGCCCUAAAAUGAGGGGCGUAAGUGCUUUGCCCCGCGGCCCCUUUUCUUCUCUCCAGUACGUGAGCCGUUUGGCUCUGCAGCGGUGUCUAACCGACCUUAAACUUUCCGCGACCCUAUUUCGGGAUGCUAGGGCUCAGGUCGGGGAGAGAAGGAGCCCAGGUCCCCACUCCACACCUCUCCCUGGCUCUUAAGAUACUCUCUAACUCCUCGGGAGGAUCGCAGUACCCAGCCGACCUUUGCGAACGUUUAACUCGGGGUUGCCCUGUGCAGAAAGCUUAGUCUGCGAGGUGCGCGAACCGGCCAGGGGUUUCCCCCACCAGUGGUGCCUGGGGACACCGUGCGUUUUGCCCUCGCGUGUACCGCGACUUUCCCGGGACCUCAGUUGGGGAAGGGAGAGGCGCCUGGGCAGAGCUGAACUGGGGUAGGGAGGUUCGUGGUAAAGCGGGGCUCGCAGGGACGGCGAGGGCUCUUCGCAAGCAGGGUUUCCUGGUCCUGGAACUCACUUUUAUGACGUCGCUCCUCGCCAGCCCCCGGCCCCGCGCGGGUCCCAGUCGCAGCGAGUUGGGAAAGGGUAAAGGUGGAAAACUCCGGAAUGGAGGGAAGACCGGCCACGGAGCCGGAUCCAGGGCUUUAAAUUUUAACCCGAGUUCGAUCGACUGCAGCCCCCAGAAAGGUUCCCACCGCGGCGUCCAAGGUUUCGCAGCGCUUCGGUCCCGGUCCCGUGGCGAGUUGGACCAAGUGUUGAAACGGACUGCAUUUUGCAAAGCUCGUGUGUAAGCAGGCCGCGAAGUCUGCAGCCGGCGGUGCCUUCCUGGGGUCGCGGGAGAAGGCGAAGGCGAAGCUUGCGACUCGCACCCGAUAAGAUUCCGCCGGCGCCGGCCCCUGCCCGCGGCCUGCUCGCCAGACACCGCGACCUGGGGGGAACACUGGGGUCCUGGGCCCCCCCGCCUGGGAAGCCCAGGCAAGGGUUCCCAAGGAGCUAGAACUCCAAGUCGGAGCAGGGACCCUGAAACGUCCCUGCUGUAAUUCACAGAAAAAAACAAACCGAGGUCAGGGGUGCCAAAUUACCGUCCCUUUUUGAUUAUUUAUACACAAGUAAUAAAGACAAAGACAAACCACCCCGACCUCUGGCCUGGUGAUGCACGCCUGUAAUCCCAGCACUCUGGGAGGCUGAGCCAGGAGGAUCUCCAUGAGUUCCAGGCCAGUCUGGGAUUAGUGAGUCCAUGUCUAGCCUGAAAUACAUAGUAAGACCCUAUAUCAAAAAAAAAAAAAAAAAAUUCACCCCUAGCUGCCUGCCCCCGCCUGUGGUCUUGCCCUGGCCUGUGCCAUCCCAUUCCAUUAGGGUUUGAACACAGGCGACCUGGAAGGUGGGCAAAGCUGUGUAGACCGAGGCCAUCCCGGCAGCAGGUCUGGGCCAGGACUAACUGCGCAGGUGCGAGGCCGAGGAGCACUCAGCCCCCGGACUGGCUCGCUUGGGAAGCCGGGUCUUCAUCAUCCGUGGCCAGUCCCGCCUGGCAUCGCCACCUCGCCUGGGCAGCAGCUGGAGCAUCCUUCGCUCCCCCAAAGCGGGCAUUCGGCUUGGGGAGCAGCUCUGAGGAGGAGGGGCAGGAAUUGCUAAAAGGAAGCAGAAAAGUAGCAAAAAGAGGGCUUCUGAAGAUUUGCUAAAUUACAAGUCCCCUCCGUGAGUCAACUGAAGGGGAAAGAAAGUGCCAAAGUCUCAUCACUCAGGAGGCUGAGGCAGGAGGAUCAAAGUGAAUUUGAGGCCAGUCUGGGCUACAGAGCAAGACACUGUCUCAACAACCAAAAAUAUGAAUAAAGUAAAAGAAGAAAGUGCCCAAGAAAAUGUAAAAGUCACUACAUCCAACACUCAGAAGCAUGCCCUUUCCAUUCAGCUGUGUUGCAAACACUCAGGACGCAGGCGCCUCUGGCACCCACUGUGCAGCCCCUCAGCUUCCUGCCAGCCUCAGACUCCACUGGACCCUUGGCGUCCGCACUGCAGUGGAGACCGAGGAGGGAGCUGCUGGUUCCCAAGUGUCUCCCUCUAGAAGAUGGCAGCUCCACCGCCGCCAGCUUCCAGGGGGAGGAGGGGAGACGCCAGUCUCUUCUGUCUCUAGAAAACCGCAAAAUUCCAGUUGUCUUCCGGGAUUUAUAGGAGCCCCUGGGCAGCUCGGACACUGGGCGGCUGGCCUGGGUCUGACAGCACCCUCUUCCUGCUUCCAUGGGCAGCAAGCUGCCAGAUCUGUCUAUGCCACUUCCCUGGUUGCUGAGAGGAUUCAAAGACAGCUUAGCUGGAAGUGCUCACCAUACCUGGCACAUUCGUCAAGCACUACAUAAGGACAGACUAUUAUUACUACUGAGCCUGAGCUGGGUGGUGGUACAUACCUGUGAUCUCAGCACGCAGGAGGCUGAGGCAGAGGGAUCUCCAAGAAUUCAAAGUGAACCUGGACUACAUAGAAGAUACUGUCUCAAGAAAACGACUACUAAUAGAAGUUGAAGGCUUUCCUGUCCCUGCAUUGUGGUAGGAAAGAGAGAGGGGAGGCAAAGAGGGCCUUUGCUUUGACCCUGUAAAGGGGGAGCUUCCUGUCACCCCCGACACAACCCCCGCAGAUGCUGGGAGCCUCAGGCACCUUCCACAGGACGCCAUGACUCAGGGGUCCCAGAAACACACACGCACCCUGCACUCCUUCCUACAGAAGAGAGGAAGGCGCUCACAGACAGCACUGUGCAGGGCGGCCCUGAGGGCUGGCGCCAGAUACUGGAGGGGGCAGUGAUUAGUGUCCUGGCCAUCUUUUUGUUUUUGAGACAGGGUCUCACUAUGUAGCCCAGGCUGGCCUCGAACUCACAACAAUCCUCCUGCCUCAGCCUCCAAGUUCUGGGAUUACAGGCAAGUGUCACCAUGCCCAGCUAUUGUUUUUUGAGACAGGGUCUCACUAUGUAGUUCAGGCUGGCCUCAAACUCCCAGCCAUCCUCCUGCCUCAGCCUCCAGACUGCUAGGAUUACAGGUGCGCAACACGAAGCCAGCUCUGGCUAUCUAAUAUGCAGGAAUUCAUUCACACAUUCGUUCACUCAUUCAUUCACAGGGCUAAGACGCAACCCAGGGGCUCACACAUGCUGGGCAAGACCUGUGCCACUGAGCCACUCUAUCUACUAAACAGGAAAAGCCAGGCUGCUCUAGGCAUUGUCCAUCUCAUGUUCUUUCUGAUUCUCCUCCUCCUCCUUCCAGCCUGUCUAAACCUCAAUAAUGAACAUAUUUUUUAAAAUCUGUGAACCUAACAAAGACUACUGUUCUUUGAUAAUAAAAUGAACAGGGAAGCCAGGCGUGAUGGUGCAUGCCUGUUGUCCCACCACUCAGGAGGCUGAGGCAGGAGGAUCGCCGAGAGCUGGAGGCCAGCCUUGGCUACACAGAAAGACCCUGUUUCAAGAAAAAAAACAAAACACAACAUGACAAGGAAAAGAGAUUUGCUUCUCAGAAGCAAGGUAUGGAGGGAACAUAAUUCUUCUCUCUGCAGGUUUUCUGCAGGGUGCGUGCCCAGAGCUUGUUUUCCCUGCCCGUCCUUUGAUUUACCGAGCGCUGUCAUCCCUGCUCUUUACAUGCACAGUCACGCAUGGAAACCUGAUAAAGCUCAAGAUCCGAAUGAUUUGUGCUUAUGCAGAUUUAGCGCCCUCCUGCCCCACUCUGGCCACCAACCCCAGGCUGCUGUACCCAGGACAGACCUCUGGGCCAGCACAGCCAGAGGGCGGGUCACGGGGCAGCGAGUGUGGCCACAGCCAGCUCCAGCUUCCUCCCGGGCACACACUGUCAGCAUCCUCUGUGCCAACUCUCAGCUAACGGCCAGUCUGCAGCCUGCCUGGGGAGGCGACACCGUCAGUACCAGAGAGGAUAGCUGUGUUACCUGUCUGCAGGUCCCAGCCACCUCUGCCUGAGGGCUGAAGGGAGACUUCACAGAUAUCAAAUCCCUCUUUUCUGGCUACUCCUAAGCCAGCUUACGACUCUGUUUAUAAUACCACACAUUAAAGGCAUGUGGCUGUCCAACAAAAACAGUGUGAGUGUCUCACAAUUCUUCAGGCUGGCGACACACAGCCUGUGCCCCGCCGCGUCCUCCAGAAACCGCAGUGUGGACCAGAAACAAAGCUGCGGACCUCUGCGGAGCCCGACCGACCGCCGCGCACGCUGGCUGCCCCUCAGCGCAUGCGCGGGAUUCGGUCCCGGGUGGAAUUGAAAGCCUGGAGUCGGGUGUUUGAAUCCCAGCUAUGGCGCCCGCUGUCUCUAGCUGUGCAUCCUUAUGAAAACCCCUUAACUCCUCCACUUCUCAUGUCCCUCACCUGGAAAGCGUGGUGGCGGUAAAUGCACUGAUUGCACAGGAUUGUUACGGAAGCCUAAAUGGGUUCAUAUGAAUAACAUCCUUCAUGCCCAGUGUGAGCACACACCUGUCACCCACUCGGGAAGCUGAGGCAGGACAAUCACUAUGAGUUUGAAGCCAACCUGGAUACAUAGGGGGUUCAAGGCUAGCCUGAAAC